CUGACAGUCCGAAACGGAUCUCCCGCAAGGGACGAGCGAGACAGGUGCUGCAUGGCUGUCGUCAGCUCGUGUCGUGAGAUGUGGGUUAAGUCCCGCAACGAGCGCAACCCUCAUCCUUAGUUGCCAUUAUUGAGUUGGGAACUCUAAGGAAACUGCCUCGGUUAACGGGAGGAAGGUGGGGAUGACGUCAAGUCCUCAUGGCCUUUAUGUCCAGGGCUACACACGUGCUACAAUGGGCGGAACAAAGGGUUGCAAUACCGCAAGGUGGAGCUAAUCUCAAAAAACCGCUCUCAGUUCAGAUUGGAGUCUGCAACUCGACUCCAUGAAGGCGGGAAUCGCUAGUAAUCGCGGAUCUAGCAUGCCGCGGUGAAUACGUUCCCGGGCCUU
rnacentral:rRNA from 1 species